rnacentral:rRNA from 1 species
UACAGAGGGUGCAAGCGUUGUUCGGAAUUAUUGGGCGUAAAGGGUGCGUAGGCGGUGCGGUAAGUCUGUUGUGAAAUCUCCAAGCUCAACUCAGAGUCUGCUGCAGAAACUGCCGUGCUUGAGUGUGGGAGAGGUGAGUGGAAUUCCCGGUGUAGCGGUGAAAUGCGUAGAUAUCAGGAGGAACACCGGUGGCGAAGGCGGGUCUCUGGGCCGAUAUUGACGCUGAGGAGCGAAAGCGUGGGGAGCAAACAGG